rnacentral:rRNA from 1 species
UACGUAGGGGGCAAGCGUUGUCCGGAAUCAUUGGGCGUAAAGAGCGCGUAGGCGGCCCGAUAAGUCCGUUGUGAAAGUCAGGGGCUCAACCCUUGAAUGCCGGCGGAUACUGUCGGGCUAGAGUCCGGAAGAGGCGAGUGGAAUUCCCGGUGUAGCGGUGAAAUGCGCAGAUAUCGGGAGGAACACCUAUGGCGAAGGCAGCUCGCUGGGACGGUACUGACGCUGAGACGCGAAAGCGUGGGGAGCAAACAGG